rnacentral:rRNA from 1 species
UACGAAGGGGGCUAGCGUUGCUCGGAAUCACUGGGCGUAAAGCGCACGUAGGCGGAUUGCUAAGUCAGGGGUGAAAUCCUGGAGCUCAACUCCAGAACUGCCUUUGAUACUGGCGAUCUCGAGUCCGGGAAAAGUGAGUGGAACUGCGAGUGUAGAGGUGAAAUUCGUAGAUAUUCGCAAGAACACCAGUGGCGAAGGCGGCUCACUGGCCCGGUACUGACGCUGAGGUGCGAAAGCGUGGGGAGCAAACAGG